AGAGUUUGAUUCUGGCUCAGAACGAACGCUGGCGGCAUGCCUAACACAUGCAAGUCGAACGCUAUCUUGUAUAGAGUGGCGCACGGGUGAGUAACGCGUGGGAACCUGCCUUUCUCUGCGGGACAACGGUUGGAAACGACCGCUAAUACCGCAUACGCCCUACGGGGGAAAGGUCAGCCGGAGAAAGAGGGGCCCGCGUUAGAUUAGCUAGUUGGUAGGGUAAUGGCCUACCAAGGCGACGAUCUAUAGCUGGUCUGAGAGGAUGAUCAGCCACACUGGGACUGAGACACGGCCCAGACUCCUACGGGAGGCAGCAGUGGGGAAUAUUGGACAAUGGGGGCAACCCUGAUCCAGCAAUGCCGCGUGUGUGAUGAAGGCCCUAGGGUUGUAAAGCACUUUCACUGGUGAAGAUGAUGACGGUAACCAGAGAAGAAGCCCCGGCUAACUUCGUGCCAGCCGCCGCGGUAAUAC
rnacentral:rRNA from 1 species